UACGGGGGGAGCAAGCGUUGUUCGGAUUUACUGGGCGUAAAGGGCGCGUAGGCGGUCAGCACAAGUCAGUUGUGAAAUCUCCGGGCUUAACUCGGAACGGUCAACUGAUACUGUGCGACUAGAGUGCAGAAGGGGCAACUGGAAUUCUCGGUGUAGCGGUGAAAUGCGUAGAUAUGACAUAGAACACCAAUUGCGAAGGCAGCUUACUACCCGAAAUAUUGACACUGAGGCACGAAAGCGUGGGGAUCAAACAGG
rnacentral:rRNA from 1 species